GUUAGGAAGGGUCAGUAGCCAGAACUGGAUGAUUUUCAAAAGGGUCAGAUUAAGCGCUCUCUCUUUGCUUCAUUCUCUUAAGCUACAACAUUGGAGGGCCUUGGUGACUUCUCCAAUGAGAGAUGAUGCUAUAACCAAGAAAGUACAAUGAAGACUGAAGGCGUCCUCUGACCAUCUACUAAAUUAAGCCCAAAUUUUGAACACCAAAGGGUAAUACAAGAGAAAACGGGUCAGAUCUUGAAGUGGAAAUUCAGCUGGAUUCACUGGACACCAGUAAGAAGAAUGCUACUUCCAAAGAGGCCUCAAGAA